GCGAGGGUGGCGGAAUGGUAGACGCGCUAGCUUGAGGUGCUAGUCCACGUUAGUGGGUGGGGGUUCAAGUCCCCUCCUUCGCA
rnacentral:tRNA from 1 species